rnacentral:misc_RNA from 1 species
GAGCUUUAGUAAGAGAGCUAACAGAUAAGAAAAUUAGGCACAAGCAAAAUUGAGGUGAGGUUUAAAGUAGGAGUGCAUUCAACAAAAUCUAUUCCUAAAACACUGGCUAGGGAACCAUCUAUUAUGCGGAUUUUUUCCUUUCUUGAACAUGCUGAAUAGGUUGUGAAUUGGUUUUAAGAGCCUAUCAUGUGUUUGUUUGCUUCGGAGUCUAUAACCCAAAAAGUUUUUUCAAGAUUGGCAAAAAGAGCAUUAUUUGAUUUAACAAAGUUAGAAGAGGC